UACGUAGGGUGCAAGCGUUGUCCGGAAUUAUUGGGCGUAAAGAGCUCGUAGGCGGUUUGUCGCGUCUGCUGUGAAAACUCGGGGCUUAACCCCGGGCCUGCAGUGGGUACGGGCAGACUAGAGUGCGGUAGGGGAGACUGGAAUUCCUGGUGUAGCGGUGAAAUGCGCAGAUAUCAGGAGGAACACCGGUGGCGAAGGCGGCGACCUGGACAGGUACUGACACUCAACUACGAAAGCGUGGGGAGCAAACAGG
rnacentral:rRNA from 1 species